UACGUAGGCAGCGAGCGUUGUUCGGAGUUACUGGCGUAAAGGGUGUGUAGGCGGUUGUUUAAGUUUGGUGGUGAAAUCUCCCGCUCAACCGGGAGGGUGCGCCGAAUAACUGGAAUGACUUGGAGUGUGGGAGAGGUGAGUGGAAUUUCUGGUGUAGCGGUGAAAUGCGUAGAUAUCAGGAGGAACACCGGUGGUGUAGACG
rnacentral:rRNA from 1 species